UCAGAGAGGGUCCGUGACCUGACCUACUCAGUCCAGCAGGAUGCAGACAGCAAGCAUGUGGAUGUGCAUCUAGUUCAGCUGAAGGAGAAAGGACCCUGCUUUCAGUGUUCGGGCUUCAACCUUCUGCUCCCUCCCAUGAUCCCUCCCUUCUUCACGUUCUGGGGAGCUGCAACAGAAGACACUGCUUUCUUGGCACACACCCGUUUAUUUGUGGGCGUGUGGACUGGUAUCUAGGAAACUUUCCAAGGAGCACAGUCAUGCACGGUAUGGAAACCGCGUGUGUAAGCCACACCCCGCUCCCUGCACAGCAGCGUCUCUGGUGAAGUUUCUGUUGACUAAUUCUCUUCUGUAUCUUCUGGCUGGACUCUGGAUGUGGGCUGAUUACUUUUUGUUGUUCACGGUGUUUGCGUUGAUUUUUAUAUAUUUUUUCUGAUUAUAAAGUAACACAUGGACUAUCUUACCUCACUAUCCUGUCCAGUAGGGUAGCCUCUGGUCACAUCUCAUUAUUUAACUUUAAAUUAAUUAAAGUGAACUUAAACUAACAAAAAGUUAGUUAUUUUUUUUUUCUGUCAGUGUGAACUAGAGAGCACAGAGAACCUCUUUUGCGUGGGUAAAGAGCCUCAUUGUGUUAAGGCUAAUGUCUUAACCUCCCUCCAUACCUUUGCUCCCAGACAAGGAUAAGUUCUGGCCCAGUUCUACGGUGUCAUACUGGGUCCUUUGCUCUUACUGUAAGUGCUCCAUCAUAUUCUACUGAUGGAUAGUUCUUAAUCUACCGAUGAAUAAACGAUUGCUUCUAUUUUCCCUGUUGU
rnacentral:lncRNA from 1 species